GAUGAACGCUAGCGAUAGGCUUAACACAUGCAAGUCGAGGGACCGGCGCACGGGUGCGUAACGCGUAUGCAACUUGCCUCACAGAGGGGGAUAACCCGUCGAAAGACGGACUAAUACCGCAUACUGUGAGCUAGGCAUGCGUUCGAUUAGCUAGUUGGUAAGGUAACGGCUCACCAAGGAAACGAAGGUGAGGUGAACGGAUGGGUGGAACCCCCAGACUGGUACUGCGACACGGACCAUAAUCCGACGCGACGGUGGAGUGAGGAACAUUGUGGAAUGGGCGAGAGUGUGAACCAGCCAAGUCGAGUGAAGGAGCACUGUCUAGGAAUUGAAAUCUUCUGUGGUAGGGGAAUAUGUACCCGCAGAAUAAGCAUCGGCUAACUCCGUGCCAGCAGCCGCGGUAAUUC
rnacentral:rRNA from 1 species